AUGCUUUUGUAGUUCAUGAGCGUGAUGACUGGGUGUUCAAGUACAUGCGUGAGAUGUGUCACCCUCAAAUUUGUUGCGAAGUUGGAAUAUUGCCUGUCUGACA
ensembl:snoRNA